rnacentral:tRNA from 1 species
GGACUAGUAGUUUAAGGUUAAAAAUGGUGAGCUGCAACCUCGCUGACGGUUGCAAGGCCCUAGUCUU